UCCCAGCAGGCUUCGCGCCGCAGGUAGGAGGAGAGAAGCUAGAGGUUGGCUGUAAGGCUUCGGCAAACUGCAGCUGCUUCCUGAAACCACCGCUCCUGGGCGGCAGGACUUAAACACGAAAUACCUUAGCGUCAUCCCUGAACUGCAGAAUCAGAAUGUUUUCCUUGGUUGCCCUGGGCCAGAUCCAGCCUGGAAAGAAGACUCUAGGGCAGGUGGACUCUGCAUUUGUUCUCCAGCCUUUUCCUUAGCUACCUCCUGCUUCAGCGAUGCUCAUGAGAUUCAUCCACAUUAUUACACAUCCUGUUUUUAGGAUGUCCAAGACCAAGGUGCCGGCAGAUACCAUGUGUAGUGAGAGCCCUCUUCCUGGGUUACAGACAGCCACCUUCUUGCUGCAAUCUCACCCAGCUCAGACGACAGCGUCCAGCUUUCUCUUCAUCAUGAAGGCUCCACCCUCGUGACCUCCCUACUUCCCUCACAAACCUCCACCUCCAAAUGUCGUACCCCUGGGGGUUAGGGCUUGGGAAUACUCAUGUCCACAGCCACACUGUAUUUGAAUGACUGAACAAUCCAGUGCAUAUUAAAA